rnacentral:rRNA from 1 species
CCUACGGGUGGCAGCAGUGGGGAAUAUUGGACAAUGGGCGAAAGCCUGAUCCAGCCAUGCCGCGUGUGUGAAGAAGGCCUUCGGGUUGUAAAGCACUUUCAGUGGGGAAGAAAGCCUUGGGGCUAAUACCCUCGAGGAAGGACAUCACCCACAGAAGAAGCACCGGCUAACUCCGUGCCAGCAGCCGCGGUAAUACGGAGGGUGCGAGCGUUAAUCGGAAUUACUGGGCGUAAAGCGCGCGUAGGCGGUCUGAUAAGCCGGUUGUGAAAGCCCCGGGCUCAACCUGGGAACGGCAUCCGGAACUGUCAGGCUAGAGUGCAGGAGAGGAAGGUAGAAUUCCCGGUGUAGCGGUGAAAUGCGUAGAGAUCGGGAGGAAUACCAGUGGCGAAGGCGGCCUUCUGGACUAACACUGACGCUGAGGUGCGAAAGCGUGGGUAGCAAACAGGAUUAGAUACCCCGGUAGUC